AGUGGAUGGGGAGCAACCUAGUUGUGCGUGUGUAAAGGUAGUGCCAAGAAAAGCGAUGAUCAUGUUGAAAAUCAAUUCCCGGUACCCGAAACCGACACAGGUGGGCAAGUAGAGAAUACUAAGGGGCGCGAGGUAACUCUCUCCAAGGAACUCGGCAAAAUGACCCCGUAACUUAGGGAGAAGGGGUGCCACCGAGAGGUGGUCGCAGUGAAGAGGCCCAGGCGACUGUUUAGCAAAAACAUAGGUCUCUGCAAACUCGAAAGAGGAGGUAUAGGGGCUGACGCCUGCCCAGUGCCGGAAGGUUAAAGAAGUUGGUCAGUCUUAGGAUGAAGCUAGCGACUGAAGCCCCGGUGAACGGCGGCCGUAACUAUAACGGUCCUAAGGUAGCGAAAUUCCUUGUCGGGUAAGUUCCGACCCGCACGAAAGGCGUAACGAUCUGGGCGCUGUCUCGGAGAGAGGCUCGGCGAAAUAGGAUUGUCUGUGAAGAUACGGACUACCUGCAUUUGGACAGAAAGACCCUAUGAAGCUUUACUAUAGCUUGGAAUUGUGUUCGGGCUUCCUGUGCGCAGGAUAGGUGGGAGGCGUAGAAGGUAUUCUUGUGGGGAUACUGGAGCCAACGGUGAGAUACCACUCUCAGGAGGCUAGAAUUCUAACUUAAUUAAGGACAGUUUCAGGUGGGUAGUUUGACUGGGGCGGUCGCCUCCAAAAAGGUAACGGAGGCGUACAAAGGUUCCCUCAGACUGGUUGGAAAUCAGUCGAAGAGUGCAAAGGCAGAAGGGAGCUUGACUGCGAGAAGUACAGUUCGAGCAGGGUGGAAACACGGUCUUAGUGAUCCGACGGUGCUGUGUGGAAGGGCCGUCGUUCAACGGAUAAAAGUUACUCUAGGAUAACAGGCUGAUCUCCCCCAAGAGUUCACAUCGACGGGGAGGUUUGGCACCUCGAUGUCGGCUCAUCGCAACCUGGGGCGGAAGUACGUCCCAAGGGUUGGGCUGUUCGCCCAUUAAAGCGGUACGUGAGCUGGGUUCAGAACGUCGUGAGACAGUUCGGUCCAUAUCCGAUGUAGGCGUGAGAAUAUUGAGAGGAGCCUUCCUUAGUACGAGAGGACCGGGAAGGACGCACCGCUGGUGUACCUGUUAUGAUGCCAAUUGUAAACGCAGGGUAGCCAAGUGCGGAGAGGAUAACCGCUGAAAGCAUCUAAGUGGGAAGCCCACCUCAAGAUGAGUAUUCUGGUGUAAGGUCACGGGAAGACGACCCGUAAAUAGGCACGAGGUGGAAGUGCAGAGAUGUAUGAAGCCGAAGUGUACUAAUAGACCGUCGGCUUGAC
rnacentral:rRNA from 1 species